UACGGAGGGUGCAAGCGUUAUCCGGAUUCACUGGGUUUAAAGGGUGCGUAGGUGGGAAUGUAAGUCAGUGGUGAAAUCUCCGUGCUUAACACGGAAACUGCCAUUGAUACUAUGUUUCUUGAAUUUUCUGGAGGUUAGCGGAAUAUGUCAUGUAGCGGUGAAAUGCUUAGAUAUGACAUAGAACACCAAAUUGCGAAGGCAGCUAACUACAGGGAUAUUGACACUGAGGCACGAAAGCGUGGGGAUCAAACAGG
rnacentral:rRNA from 1 species